UUUUUUUUUUAUUUUGUUAAGAGUCAGUUUGAUAAAUAGUACUUGACUAAGAAAGAAAAAUGACAAGAUUAAAAUUUGUAGUUAAGCUUUUUCAGCUUCUGCAUCCCAUCAACUAAGAACCCAAGCAGAAAGCCAGCCCAGUGCACACCUGUAAUCUCACCUGUAAUCCACUUGGGAGGCUGAGGAGAGGGACUGAAAGUUUGAGGGCAACAUAGUGAGAUCCUGUUUCGAACAAAUAAAUCAAUAAAAAGAACUGGGAAUGUUGCUCAGUAGUAAAGUUCCCUGGAUUCAAUCCCUAGUACCAAAAGAAAAAAGAAAAGAUAGCCAACUGGGCGUGGUGGCAAUAGACUGGGGAUAUUAAUAAUGACUUUCUCUUUACUAUUAAAGAAUGCUUUUAGCCUUUUGCAGUGGUGCUCACCUGUGAUCCCAGCUGCUUAGGGGAAUGAGGGAGGAGGAUCACAAUUUCAAAGCCCACACUCAGCAACUUUUCAAGACCCUGUCUCAAAAUUAAAUGUAGUUCAGUGGUUAAGCGCCCCUGGGUUCAAUACCCAGUUAAAAAAAAAAAAAAAUUAACCAUAUGUAAAGUCUGUUUCUGAAUUCUGAAUUCUGUUUCAUGCACAUUAUGUGUCUGCCCUUGCUCUAGUACUAUGCUAUGUUGAUUACUGAGUCUUAUAAUCUAAUAAUAGAAAUCCUUUUGUUUUUCAAAUUUUUUUUAGUUGUGAAUGCACCUUUAUUUUAUUUAUUUGUAGAAUCGAACCCAAUGCCUCACACACAGUAGGCAAGCUCUCUUCCACAAAGUUACAACCCCAGCCCAGAAAUCUUUUCCUUUUGUGGUGGUUUUUCAAAGCUGUUUUGUGCUCCUUUGUAUUUCCAUAUUAAUUUUAGAAUCAUCUUAUCAAUUUCUGCAAAAAAUCUUGCUUGAAUUUUAUUUGUUUAUUUAUUUUUUUGGUUCUGGGAAUUGAACCCAGGACCCUUGAGCAUGCUAAGCAUGUAUAUGCUACCACAGAGCUACAGUCUGCAGUCUGUGUUUAAAAAAAAUUUUUUUUAUUGUGUCUAAAUUGACAUAUUUAUUGAGAUAAAGUUGUUUGUCAUAUUCCCCUCUGUGUUUUGAAUAUCUGUAGAAUAAGUACAUAUGUGCUUUACUUUAUUCCUUUUAUGAGUAAUUUGUACC
rnacentral:lncRNA from 1 species